rnacentral:lncRNA from 1 species
UCCAUCAUUGUACUGAUAACACACUCCCCAACACUUGUAUUGACCACACCCUCACCAUCAUUUGUAUUGAGAUCACUCUGUCCAUCACUUGUACUAACUACACUUUGUCCAUCACUUGUACUGUUUCACUCUCUCCAUCACUUGUACUGACCACACCCUCUCCAUCAAUUGUACUGACCACAUUCAUUUAAUCACUUGUACUGACCACACUCUCUCCAUCACUUUUAUUGACUACACUCUCUCCAUCACUUGUACUCAUCACACUCUCUCCAUCCCUUGCACUGGUCACACUCUCUGAAUCACUUUUACUGAUAACACUCUCUCCAUCCCUUGUACUGAUCACACUCUCUGAAUCAAUUUUAUUGAUCAUACUCUCUCCUUAUGUUGUAAUGACCACACACUCUCCAUCACUUGUACUGAUCACACUUUCUCGAUCAAUUGUACUGACCACACACUCCCCAUCACAUGAAGUGACAACACUCUCUCCAUCCCUUGUACUGAACACACACACUCUCUUCAUUACUUAAACUGACCACAUUUUCUCCAUCACUUGUACUGACCAUAUACUCUCCAUCACUUUUCCUACCACAUCUUCUCCAUCACUAGUACUGACCACCCACUUUCAAUCACUUGUACUGAUCAAACCCUCUCCAUCACUAGUACUGACCACACUCUCUCCAUCACUUGUACUCACCAGACUGUAUCCAUCACUAGUAUUUUGGACACUCUCUCCAUCACCUGUUCUGACACAACUCUCUGCAUCACUUUUCCUUAACACACUCUCUCCAUCCCUUGUAAUGACCACAUCCUCUCCAUGACUUGUACUGACAACACACUCUCCAUUACUUGUACUGACCACACACACUUGAUCACUUGAACUGAGCACACUCUCUUCAUCACUUGUGCUGAUCACACUAUCUCAGUCACUUGUAAUAAUCAAACUCUCUCCAUCACGUGUACUUAUCACACUCUCUCCAUCAUUGUACUGAUAACACACUCUCCAUCACUUUUACUGUCCACACACUCUCCAUCUUUUUGAAUGACAACACUCUAUCUUUUUUACUGACCACACCCUUUCCAUCACUUAUACUGAUCACACUCUUUAUCACUUGAACUGACCUCACACUCUCCAUCACUGGUACUGAUCGUACUCUCUCAAUCAUUUUACGGACCACACUUUCCCAUCAUUUCUACUUACCAUACUCUCUUCAAUACUUGUAGAGAUCACACUAUCUCCAUCACGUGUACUCACCACACUCUCUCCAUCCUUUUUAAUGACAACACUCUCUCCAUCACUAGGACUGACCACACACUCUCCAUCACUUGUACUGAUCACACAAUCUCCAUCACUUUUACUGAUCCCAGUCUAUCCAUCACUUGCACUCACCACACCGUCUCCAUCACUUGUACUGAUCACACUCUCUCCAUCACUUGUAAUGACCACAUUCUCUCCAUCAUUUGUACUGACCACACUCUGUCCAUCAUUUGUACUGACCACACUCUCUCCAUCACUUGUACUGAUCACAAACUCUCCAUCACUUGUACUGAUCACAAACUUUCCAUCACUUGUAAUGGCAACACUCUCUCCAUCAGUUUAACUGAUCACAACCUCUGCAUCAGUUGUACUGUCCACACUGUCCAUCACUCAUACUGACCACACACUGUCCAUCACUUUUACUCACCUCACUCUCUCGAUCUCUUGUACUGAGCACACAAUCUCCAUCACUUGUACUUACCACACUCUCUCCAUCACUAGGACUGACCACACACUCUCCAUCACUUUUACUGAUCACACUCUAUCCAUCACUUGUACUGACUGCACUAUCUACAUCGCUUGUACUGCUAACACUCUCUCCAUCACUUGUACUCUUCAUACACUCUCCAUAACUUGAACUGAUUGCACUCUCUCCAUCACUUGUACUGAUAGCACUCUCUCCUUAACUUUUGCUGAUCACACUCUUUCCAUCAUUUGUAUGGACCACACUCUCUCCAUCCCUUGUACUGACCACCCUCUCACCAUGAUUUACUGAAUACAUGCUCUACGUCAUUUGUACUGAACACACUCUCUCCAUCUCUUGUACUGAUCACACUCUCUCCAUCACUUGUAAUGACCACCCUCUCUCCAUCACUUGUACAGAUCACACUCUCUCUAUCACUUGUACAGAUCACACUGUCUCCAUCUUUUGUACUGGCCACACUCUCUCCAUCACCUGUACUGACCACACCCUUUCCACCCCUUCUAUUGAUCACACUCUCUCCAUCACUUGUACUGACUAUACUCUCUCCAUCUCUUGUACUGACCACAAUCUCUCCAUCUUUUGUACUGAACACAGUCUCUCCAUCACUUGUACUGAAAACACAUACUCUAUCACUUUUACUGAUAAUAACCUCUGCAUCAGUUGUACUGACCAUACUCUCCAUCGUGUGUACUGACCACACACUCUCCAUCACUUGUACUGACCACACACUCUCUAUCACUUGUACUGACCACACACUCUCUAUCACUUGUACUGACCACACACUCUCCAUCACUUGUACUUACCACACUCUCUCCAUCACUUGUACUGACCACACUGUCUCGAUCAUUUGUAUUGACCAUACUCUCUCCAUCACUUGUACUGACCACAAUCUCUCCAUCUCUUGUACUGACCACACUCUUUCUAUCACUUGUACUGAUCACACUCUCUCCACCACUUGUACUUACCACACUCUCUCCAUCACUUGUGUUGAUCACACUCUCUCCAUCACUUUUACUGACCACACUCUCUUUGGCACUUGUACUCACCACACUCUCUCCAUCACUUGGACUGACCACACUCUCUCCAUCACCUGUACUGACUACAGUCUCCAUCACUUUUACUGACCACUCUAUUUCUUGUACUCACCACACUCUCUCCAUCCCUUGUACUGACCAUACUCUCUCCAUCACUUGUACUGAUCACACUCUCUCCAUUUCUUGUCCUGACCUCACUCUCUCCAUCAGUUUUACUGACCACACUCUGUCCAUCAUUUGUACUGACUACACUCCAUCUCUUGUACUGACCACAGUCUCUCCAUCUUUUGUACUGACCACACUUUCUCCUUCACUUGUACUGAUCACACUCUCUCCAUUACUUGUGCUAAUCACACUCUCUCCAUCACUUUUACUGACCACACUCUCUCCAUCCUUUGCAUUAUCUCAUGGUUUUAUGUAUCUGCUUACUUUCCGAGGUGGUUGAAUAUAGUGCGUGUCAGUUCAGUUCCUGUUCAUCUAAAGUAGUUACACUGUGUGUGUGUGU